UCAGCAUUCAUAUUGCCUUCAAAAGCCAGCAUCUCUGAUGGUAUGGGGGUGCAUAAGUGCAUACGGUAUGGGCAGCUUGCAUGUUUUGGAAGGCACUAUGAAUGCUGAAAGG